CUUCUACUCCCUCCGUUCGAAAUUACUCGUCCAAGAAAUGAAUGUAUCUAGAUGUAUUUUAGUUGUAGAUACAUCCAUUUUUGUGACAAGUAAUUCCGAACGGAGGGAGUAUCUU
rnacentral:pre_miRNA from 1 species